rnacentral:lncRNA from 1 species
CAGUGGUUCAGGGCUCAGACUAGUAAGAAGGUAGAUUUAGUAGAGCAUUUCCAAAUUUCAAUUGUUUGCAAACUCCCUGCAAGUAGAGUUGCCAGAUAAAUGCAAAAUACCCAGCUGUUCAGCCUGUCUUUUCUCCUGACCACCCCCACCUUUCCAGUAUCUCUCUCUCUGUCUCUCUCUCUCUUUUUUUUUUAAUGUUUGCAAAAUGGAAAAAGUAACGUAAGUGGGUUGCAAAAUCCUUUUCUGGAUGAACUCCGAAAUAUACCUCCAGGCUCAUAGUGUACGAUCCCUCUCCCAAACAUCGACACAGACCCUGGGAAUCAAAUUUCAGUGAAAAGGCACUAAGCCUCUCUCCUGCACUGUUUUGUUUUGUUGUUGUUGUUGUUGUAGGAAAGCUCCAGGAGCUUUUUAAGACCUGAGAUGCCUACAUUGACAAUACUGA